CAUGGGAGCCGGGAGCUGCUCAGCAAAGGUAGGAGUUGCCGACUAGGCCAGGAAUGGGGGCCAGACCCAGGCCUGGUGGUGAAUGCUGAGGUACUGUACAGAAGGGUACAGCCCAUCCUACCUUACAGUGGGCAGUUUUGUCAGGGGAUGGGCCCCCAGGUAUCCCGAAGGCAAUAUUGGGGUGUGGGCAUCUCUGAAGCCUAGAGAUGGGGAUUGAUCUGCUGCCAGCAGGAGUACCCACAUCCUGCAGGCAGACAGGUUCCUCAUCUAUCUUGCUCUGUGUCAUAGAAAUGGGUCCCCUUCAUCCUAGGAAAGAAUCCUUUGGCAUCCAGGCUGACGGGCAACUCUGUGUCCUGGGCGUCGGCAACUCUCCUAGGGAGAGGUGCUGUAGCCCCCUGAAAAUCUUUCCUGGCUUAGGAGGGGCAUGCUCUUCUCUGAAGGGAGGCCAGUCUCGGGUCCUUGGGAUGGAGGCUCUGCAACUAAGAAACAGGUGUAUGUGAAUCCCAACACCUCUGUGGCCUUGGGCUGGGCACUUAUGUACAUCUUGCAUCCUGAGACACAGUUGUUUGUAACUUGACCAUACCCCUGCUAGAGGCCCAGACCCCAGAUCCUUGGGUGGCAAAGCCUUCCAGGUACUGAGAAGUCCUAGAGGUGAGGGAAGGGUUGCUGGAAGGGAGCAGAGGGAGGACAAGAGUGUCCGAGAAGGCAUGAUGAUAUGAGCUAGGAAUGGAGUGAGGCUCCCUGGGCUUCCCCUGUGAAACCGUUACCCACAGCCCUCUCAGGCUUUACCCUGGUCCAUCAGUGAGGAAGUGCUGGGGAGCAGGUAUAUUGGCUCUUCUGUUAGGAGGUAAAUGGGAAUACUGGAAUUUAGGGGUCAGUGCAGAGAUACUGGCAAGGCUGAGGGGGUGAAAAGGAGAAAUGUCCAAUGCCUUCUUGCCUAGGGCUCCAUCAUGGCUGCACAGCACCCCUCCAUCUCCACGUGGAAACCAUGUCUGCUUCCCGCAGUCUGGGACCCUGGCCACUGUGGAGGGCACCAUCAAACACAGUAUGGCACGGUGGGCUGGAGUACUGGCUCGGGAGCCAGGCCUCCUGGGUGCGUACCUGGACCUUGCUACUUACUAGCUGUGUGACCUUUGAUGCCUUUAUGAGGAAACUGAAGUUCAGAAGAGUUAGUAGCUCCCAGACCUAGGACUGGAAACCUGAUCUCGUGCUCCUUCUCCUCGACAGCUGCUGCCAUUCUGAGGAGACAAGAAAUCAGGAAAUUUACAUAAGCAACCUUAAAACUGGGCACUAUCCCAGAGCUCAGCAGGACCCUGGGAAAGGGAAAGGAUUUAGAGUCCCUGGAUAACAGUCCUUGAAAGGGGAGAAGGGUGUGGAGAAGAGAGGAAAGGAGCAGGAGACCACUCAGAAGACGGAGUGUUGAGUGGGUGAGGCUCCUGCAUCUCUCAUGCUCCUGCUUCCUUGCAGUCACCAAGGUGGACCCGGAGCUGCCUCCCGAGCCCUCAGUCCCCGGCCUUGAGGGCUGGCAACAAGAGCCUGCCCGAGAGGCUCCAGCAGGAGGCGCUCUCUCCCCACCCCAACCCGCACACACAAAAUUGGGAAGCCUGGGCCUGGGCUCGCCAUCCCAGGGUCACUGGACUAGGAUGGGGGAUGGGCCUGUGACAGGAGGUGCCCUGGGUGUCCUCUUUCGGCCCCAUGGAGUCCUCCCCCAUCCCCCCGUCAUCAGGGAACUCUUCCACUCUGGGGAGGGUCCCUCAAACCCCAGGUCCCUCUACUGCCAGUGGGGUCCCAGAGGUAGGGCUGCGGGACGUGGCUUCAGAAUCUGUGGCCCUCUUCUUCAUGCUCCUGCUGGACUUGACCGCUGUGGCUGGCAAUGCUGCUGUGAUGGCUGUUAUCGCCAAGACACCCGCCCUUCGAAAAUUUGUCUUUGUCUUCCACCUCUGCCUGGUGGACCUGCUGGCUGCCCUGACCCUCAUGCCCCUGGCCAUGCUCUCCAGCUCCGCCCUCUUUGACCGUGACCUCUUUGGGGAGGUUGCCUGCCGCCUCUACUUGUUCCUGAGCGUAUGCUUUGUUAGCCUGGCCAUUCUCUCGGUGUCGGCCAUCAACGUGGAGCGCUACUAUUACGUGGUCCACCCCAUGCGCUACGAGGUGCGCAUGACGCUGGGGCUGGUGGCCUCUGUUCUGGUGGGUGUGUGGGUAAAGGCCUUGGCCAUGGCUUCUGUGCCGGUGUUGGGAAGGGUCUCCCUGGAGGAGGGAGCUCCCCGUGUUCCCCCAGGCUGCUCACUCCAAUGGAGCCACAGUGCCUACUGCCAGCUUUUUGUGGUGGUCUUUGCUGUCCUUUACUUCUUGUUGCCCCUGCUCCUCAUCCUAGUGGUCUACUGCAGCAUGUUCCGAGUAGCCCGAGUGGCUGCCAUGCAGCACGGACCGCUGCCCACGUGGAUGGAGAACCCCCGGCAACGCUCCGAGUCUCUCAGCAGCCGCUCCACCAUGGUCACCAGCUCGGGGGCCCCCCAGACCACCCCGCACCGGACGUUUGGGGGAGGGAAGGCAGCAGUGGUUCUCCUGGCUGUAGGGGGACAGUUCCUGCUCUGUUGGUUGCCCUACUUUUCUUUUCACCUCUACGUCGCCCUGAGUGCUCAGCCCAUUUUGACCGGGCAGGUUGAGAAUGUGGUGACCUGGAUUGGCUACUUCUGCUUCACUUCCAACCCUUUCUUCUAUGGAUGUCUCAAUCGGCAGAUCCGGGGGGAGCUGAGCAAGCAGUUUGUCUGCUUCUUCAAGCAGGCGCCGGAGGAGGAGCUGAGGCUGCCUAGCCGGGAGGGCUCCAUUGAGGAGAACUUCCUGCAGUUUCUUCAGGGCACUGGCUGUCCCACGGAGUCCUGGGUUUCCCGACCUGUACCCAGCCCCAAGCAGGAGCCACCUGCUGUUGACUUUCGAAUCCCCGGCCAGAUAGCUGAGGAGACCUCUGAGUUCCUGGAGCAACAACUCACCAGCGACAUCAUCGUGUCGGACAGCUACCUCCGUCCUGCCCCCUCACCACGACUGGAGUCCUGAUGGGCUGCUGGACACUUGGAGGGAGAUGGGGCUGGGGGCCGGUUAGGACCGCAAGGAACUCCUUGUGGGAUCACCUUUUCCCAGCUAGCUGGGGCUGGGGGUCUCUGCACACAGCUUUCGCUUAGUGUUUUCUGGGUCAGGAACAGAGCCAACUGGAUGGAUAUGUGGCAAAAGCCUUGGACAUGGCUGUGAGCCUUGACAACUGGGGGAGGGAACCUGGUGAGAUGGUGAUGAGAAUAAAGGGUCAAGAAGGUGAGAUGAUGCCUCUCAACCAAUGAACUUUCCAUGACUCAGGAAGCAGGGAAACUAUAAGGGUAGGAGUUGGAAGAUAUAGGGCAGCAGACCAGGCUUGGAGUUAUUCUGGGGACCCUUUAGGACCUUUCAUUUUUCAGUGUAAUUGUCCAGGGAAGAAAUUGCACUCAAGCAAGAGCUGGCCUCCCUGAUCUCUCUCCUCAUGGCAGUGACCCAUCGCCAGCCCUCUGGACAAUCGGGUACAAGAGACUAAGGUCGGGAAUGGGAAAGGUGGGGUUUCCAUGGUUCAUUAAAUGCCUCCCUACUCCCAUUCAUCGCUCUCAAAAUUAGCUUCAGUGACACAGGCUUAAAUCUCUCUCCUAUCUGCAGCCCUGGGUUGGAGAGGGGGCACGGGAAUUGGGCUCAGCUGUUCACUGAUUGAGACUGUAGGAACUGUGUUGGGUGGUCUUGGUGGUGGUAUAUUCAAGGGAGGGGGAAUAAUCGCAAACUGGACAGGACACCCAUCUAGGACUACCCGUCCGUCCACUUCCCUCAAUUCAAUCAGGUCACAUUAGAGAGUUGAGGCAGGACCACAUGGUGGUGUGAUCUGUAUUUGAACAAAUUCCUGGCUUGACUGAGCAUCAAAGAGGAAGAUGGCUUGGUGGGAGUGGGACAGUUUCCCCUCUGAACAGUUAAUAAAUAAUUUUUAUUAUAAAAAGUUAUGCUGAUAUCAACAUUGACUCCUUCAGUUCA